UACAAUUUUCUAAAACUACCUUAAAAUAUACCAAACAUUAAUAGAGUACAUAGGUGUGCUUAUCUCUAGAAGAGAUCUCUGCCAGCAGACCUACAAGACAUUGGGAGAUACAGAAACA